rnacentral:lncRNA from 1 species
GUAAAAUAGAUUAAUAGUCAAUAGAAUAGUCAAUUCAGGAGAACCGAUGGUUAACUUAGUUAUUAAAAGUAGUUAAUUACAGGAUUACGGUUAGAAUCUAGGAAUAGAAAAUAAGUAUAUAGAAGUUGUAGAAAUUAUUUUGAGGGCCAGAUUGUGAUAGUCAUGAGCCGAGAUGAAGUUUGGUACUAUCUCUUUGUUUUUUUUUGUUAUUGAAGAGUAAUGGAUAGUUUCUGAAUACUAAGAAGUGAGUCUGUGGAAUAAAUUAGAGAUUGAUUUAUGAGUUAUUGACUAUGUAAUUGGAAUACUGAGUGAUUGAAUUAUAUGAAGAGUUAUUAAAAGAUUAUGAUUGUUGUUUAUUGAGAGCUGUGUGUGUUUUGGACAAAAAAAGUUGAUAAUUAUAGAAAUUAUGUGAAUUCAGAUUGGUUGGAGUGAAGUCUGUUAUUUCUAGUGUUGGA